rnacentral:rRNA from 1 species
UACGAAGGGGGCUAGCGUUGUUCGGAAUUACUGGGCGUAAAGCGUGCGUAGGUGGUUCGUUAAGUCUGUCGUGAAAGCCCCGGGCUCAACCUGGGAAUUGCAUUUGUGACUGCAUCGCUGGAGUGCGGCAGAGGGGGAUGGAAUUCCGCGUGUAGCAGUGAAAUGCGUAGAUAUGCGGAGGAACACCGAUGGCGAAGGCAAUCCCCUGGGCCUGCACUGACGCUCAUGCACGAAAGCGUGGGGAGCAAACAGG